AGGAGUGGGUACUGUAGGGCAGUGAAGGAGAAGUUGAAACUGGCUUUGAGAAGGAGCAAGCUUGGAACUUGCUGGCAUCAGAACAGCCAUGUGGUCUCACAGCAAAGUUUCCUUGUAAAAGGAAAGGAGAAGAAUUAACAAGGCUGCUUGCCCUCUGCCUCCUGACUUCUGUGCAAAGGGAUAAAGCCAUCAUUCAGAUCCUGCUCAUCUGCCACUCCAUUUCAGCAAUUUUCCCCAACUGAUGUUUCAAUG